AUACGUAGGGUGCGAGCGUUAUCCGGAAUCAUUGGGCGUAAAGAGCUCGUAGGCGGUUCAGCAAGUCGGCUGUGAAAGUUCGAGGCUCAACCUCGAAAUUGCAGUCGAUACUGCUGUGACUCGAGUCCGGUAGAGGAGAAUGGAAUUCUCGGUGUAGCGGUGAAAUGCGCAGAUAUCGAGAGGAACACCAGUAGCGAAGGCGGUUCUCUGGGCCGGCACUGACGCUGAGGAGCGAAAGCGUGGGGAGCAAACAGGAUUAGAUACCCGAGUAGUCC
rnacentral:rRNA from 1 species